UCUUUUCUGGAGGGAUAACUCAGAAUCACAAAUAUCUUCCUAUUCUCCAAAUAGUCUAGGUUACCACCUACUUGACCUAAAAAACUUCAUUAACUCAAAAAGGUCAAAACAUCAUAUAAUUGGGGGAGGAAGAGGAGAUAAUUGAACUUAGAGCCCUACUUUU
rnacentral:miRNA from 10 species